AACGAACGCUGGCGGCGUGGAUUAGGCAUGCAAGUCGAACGCGAAAGAGGGGGGUAACUCCUCGAGUAGAGUGGCGAACGGGUGAGUAACACGUGAGAAACCUGCCUUCAGCAGGGGGAUAACACUCCCAACGGGGUGCUAAUACCGCAUGAGACCACGGAUUCGCAUGGAUCUGGGGUCAAAGGUGGCCUCUGCUUGCAAGCUACCGGCUGAAGAUGGUCUCGCGCCCAUUAGCUAGUUGGUGGGGUAAUGGCCUACCAAGGCGACGAUGGGGUAGCUGGGUCUGAGAGGGAUGGGUCAGCCACACUGGGACUGAGAUACGGCCCAGACUCCUACGGGNGCAGCAGUAAGAAUAUUGCGCAAUGGGCGAAAGCCUGACGCAGCGACGCC
rnacentral:rRNA from 1 species